rnacentral:rRNA from 1 species
AGUGAACGCUGGCGGUAGGCCUAACACAUGCAAGUCGAACGGCAGCACAGUAAGAGCUUGCUCUUACGGGUGGCGAGUGGCGGACGGGUGAGGAAUACAUCGGAAUCUACUUUUUCGUGGGGGAUAACGUAGGGAAACUUACGCUAAUACCGCAUAUGACCUACGGGUGAAAGUAGGGGAUCUUCGGACCUUGCGCGAUUGAAUGAGCCGAUGUCGGAUUAGCUAGUUGGCGGGGUAAAGGCCCACCAAGGCGACGAUCCGUAGCUGGUCUGAGAGGAUGAUCAGCCACACUGGAACUGAGACACGGUCCAGACUCCUACGGGAGGCAGCAGUGGGGAAUAUUGGACAAUGGGCGCAAGCCUGAUCCAGCCAUACCGCGUGGGUGAAGAAGGCCUUCGGGUUGUAAAGCCCUUUUGUUGGGAAAGAAAAGCAGCAGGUUAAUACCCCGCUGUUCUGACGGUACCCAAAGAAUAAGCACCGGCUAACUUCGUG